GUGAAACAUAAGAUAUUAUAGUUGUUAAUGUCCCGUUGGUAGGAGAGUCUUGAGCGGAGAUCAUCCAGUUUAUUUUGCAGUGAUUGCACGUUGGCCAGUAGAACAGAGAGGCGGGUUACCAACUCGUGACAAAUUCUCACAAGGCACCCUGAUCUCCGCCCCCUGUAUUUCUGUAUUUUCUUCACGUUAAUGACAGGGUCUUGGAGAAGCCUUUUUCCUUCGCGUCGGACUCAUUAAAGAAAGAAUCUUCGUCCAGUUUGAGAUGAAAUCCUGCGACUAGUGAUGUCCGGCCGCCAACAACAUGCCCACCUGACCCCAUCCCCUUCUCCAGACCAUCUCUGGAGACCUUCUCCCAUUCCUCACUUCCCUCACCAACUCAUCCCUGACCACUGGCUGCGUCCCCUCUGACUUCAAGAUGGCCAGAGCUGCUCCCCUCCUAAAGAAACCAACACUCGACCCCUCUGACGUCAAAAACUACCAGGCAAUCUAUCCGCUGCCUUCGACACAGUGAACCAUCAGAUCCUCCUCUCCACCCUCUCAAGAUUGGCCAUCUCAGGCACUGCAUAAUUGGUUCUAGGCCCUCUCCUCUUUUCUCUUUACACCAAGUCACUCGGGUCUGUCAUAUUCUCACAUGGUCUCUGCUAUCACUGCUAUGCGGAUGACAAUCAACUACUCUUCUCCUUAACCCCUUCUGACAUCCAGGUGGCAACACGCAUCUCUGCGUGCCUGGCAGAUAUUUCAGCUUGGAUGUCGGCCCACCACCUCAAACUCAACCUCGUCAGAACGGAGCUGCUCUUCCUCCUGGGGAAGGCCUGCCCGCUCCAAGACCUCUCCAUCACGGUUGAGAACUCCACAGAUCCCCCCUCCAAGAGUGGUGUGACCAUGGACAACACCCUGUCAUUCUCUGCAAACAAUAAAGCAGUGACUUGCUCCUGCAGGUUCAUGCUCUACAACCCUCAAACUCAACUCUGGACCUCGAAGCCAGUUCCACUGCAUUUUUUCCUUGUUCAGGGACUGAUUUAGACCUGUGACACCAGGCUUGUUCAAGUCAUUAUCAGGUAAAACAGAAAACCAGCAGGCUGCGGACCUUGUAGUGUAAGAGUUGAAUACCCCGGCUCUACAACAUCUGUAGAGUAUGACCUUUCCUCACACAGGAAGUGGUGCAGGUCCUAAUCCAGGCACUUGUCAUAUCCCAUCUAGACUUUUGCAACCCUCUGUUGGCUGGGUUAGGGUUAGGGUUAGGGUUAGGGUUAGGGUUAGGGUUAACCCUAACCCUUGUGCCAUCAUAUCCCUGCAAGUUAUCCAGAAUACCGCAACCCGCCUGGUGUUCAACCUUCCUAAGUUCUCCCAUGUCACCCCGCUCCUCCAUACACUCCACUGGCUUGCAGUCAAAGCUCGCAUCAUCUUCAAGAUCCUGGUGCUUGCCUACAGAGCAGCAAGGGGAACCAGGGGCGGAUUGGGCAUCUUUGCAAUUUUGGCAAAUGCCAGAUGGGCUCGACCAUUCUUUUAUUGGGAGGGCUGGUCAAAAUUGACACCCUCAAAAAUGUAUAUAAAAAUAAAACAAUGAAAAAGGU